AACUGCGUUGCCGUUGCCAGUGUUCCUUGAUGUGCCCGCGCCCCUAUAGGCACGUGUGCAGUUCGAAAUGAAUAGUGUACUUAUACAGGAAGAAAUGGAAGUUUGUUUACAUCGAUAGCUGUCUGUAUCGUCGUUCAUAAUAAAUGAAGAAUGACAGGUACAGGACUAUAAAGCACUGGAUGGUAUGAUGAACAGCAAGGAAGGAGUAGUGACCUCAUUGCAGCAUUACACUGGACAUUUUCCUGCAGAGUGCUUAAAACAACAAGUGGCUAGAGAAGGAUUGUUCCCACAGUAACUAGGAGAAAUGUAAACAAGUUUCCGUGAUAAUUUGUUGGAAUUGUUGCAAAAUGAAAUCCCAUGGAUACAGGAGAAUGGAACCCAUGGAGUCGGUGUCUACUAUUCGGACAGACUGACAGAUAUAACCAGAAACAGAAUUCAAGCAGAAUUGAAGUAGAGUUAGUUUGAGCUCGUCCUAGCUCAGGAGUCUACAGACCAAGGUAGGGUGCAAAUGGAUGAAGCCACUGACACUCAGUGCAACACUUGUGGAACCUCUUAUGUAACUGCUGAUAACUCAAGUCCUAUGGCAUAUAUUGUAUUAAAAGUUAAAUGUAAAUGAAAGAAUAAAGACUGCUUUAUCCAUC